CCGGGUUCCAUCCUCAGCACCACACACUGAAAACCAGACCUCCAAGUUCUCCCAAGCCUGGGUCAGGUCUGAGCUAGCCAAGCUGCUGCGGUCCCAGCACACAGGAGACGGAGGUAGAAAGAUACCUCGAACCUGGACGUUGGAGGCCAGCUGGGCAACAUAACAAGACCCAUCUCAAAAAAUUAAUAUUAAAUAAAAGCUAGGUGCAAUGGCACACACCUGAGAUCUCAAUUACUCGGGAGGCUGAGACAGGAGGAUGCAAGUUUGAGGCCAGCCUGGGUGACUUAGGGAGACCCUGUCUCAAUAAAAGAUAAAAAGGGCUAGGGAUGUAGCUUGGUGGUAGUGUGCCCCUGGAUUCAAUCCCCAGUACCAAAAUAAAUAUAUGAGCUCAGAUGGUACCUCCUGACUAAGGCCUUCUCUGAUCACCCCGUUUAAAGUGCCCUGGGGGCUGGGAUGUUGCUCAGUGGUAGAGUGUGUGCUUAACACGCACAAGGCCUUGGGUUCAAUUCCCAGCACCAAACAUUUUAAAAUAAAACAAAGCUCUCAGAACAGAUUUCUUUUCUAUUUUGUUUUCUGAUAUCUGUAACUCCCAGAAAGGUGUCCAACACCUCAUAGACCCUCACCAAAUAUUUGUUGAAAGAACCAAUGAAGGAGGGCAUAGUGGCACAUGCCUGUAAUUACAGUUGCUCAGGAGGCUGAGGCAGGAGGAUCAUAAGUUCAAGGCCAGCCUCAGCAACUUAAUGUGAUCCUGUCUCAAAAUAAAAAAUAAAAGGCCUGAGGAUGCAGCUUGGUGGUAGAGUUCCCUUGGGUUUAGUGCAGGAAGGAAGGAAGGACAAGCCAGUGAAUUCCCACUGGGGUCCCUCUCCCUUGUCACUCCACGGCCCCUCCCCAAGGCUUGUGUUGGGAUCAGUAGAUUAGGGCUCAUACUUACCAGCUGUGAUGUGGAGGGAAUGGGGUGCCACAGGGUGGUGACAAAGGCAGACCUCAGCCCACAACAGUCCAUCUGUAAAACGAGGAUGCUAUUUCCUGACUGGGGAGCCACCCAAAGUUCUCCUAAUGGAUCAGCUCUACCCGGAGACCAUGUGACCCCUGG
rnacentral:lncRNA from 1 species